UACAGAAAUUACUAAAGCUUAAACAGGUAAAAUCGUAACUGUUUGAGUCACCAGUUAAAAUAAAGUAUCUUCAAGGGUUAUGGGGGGACUUCUGGUUCUGAUUGAUGUCUGCAGCCAGGUUAUUUUUGGGAAAACUGUGUUUUGGUGACAAACCCAUUAAUUUUUUAAUCAUGUACUUCUGCUUACAUCUAAACAUAUACAUGAAGGAUGUCGCAUUCCUAAUUAAGCAAUUCUUUAGCAAGGAAAAACUGAAAACGAUAGUACAGCUACUCUUUGAUAAUUCACAGAGGCUAAAGCUCAUCCAACUUUCGUCAUGUCACAGAUAACUGUCACUGACAGGAACAGGGUUCUUUUGCACAAACACACCAAUUCUGCUAUGUGAAUACAAUUCUCCCAACAUGACCAAUGUGCCCAAUGUGCCAUCUGAUGAGUAAAAUAAUUAGGUAACAAGCCACAUCCAACAUCUAUGCUUUACUAAAAUACUGAAUUAUGCAUAAACUGCACACUUGAGAAAAUGGAAAAAAGCCGUUUGUAGAUCAAUUAGGUUUUAAGCUACUAUCUCAAAAAAAAAAAAAAAGAAAAAAAAAA